CCUGGUGUCUAUGGUGCGGUGGAACCACUCCGACCCUUCCCGAACUCGGUUGUGAAACUCCGUUACGGCAACAAUACUUGGCGGGUCACUGCCUGGAAAGAUAGCUCGAUGCCAGGU
rnacentral:rRNA from 1 species